GUCAAACACCUAUUUUGUAAUGGAAAAGUAUGAAGCAAAUAUAGGAAAAUGAGAACAUGAUAACCAGAUAUCAAAGUACAAUAUCAUCUUCAAGCAUUCAUAGAAAUAUAGACAAAUGCAAAUAUAUAUGGUGGACCUAUGUUCCAUUGAACCAUAAAGACGAACUACAGACUAUAUAAAACUCAAUCUGUAAUUUCAAUAAAAUUAUACAUAAUGUAUUUUACCUGAUUAAACCCAGCUCUAAA
rnacentral:misc_RNA from 1 species